rnacentral:rRNA from 1 species
UACGUAGGGUGCAAGCGUUAAUCGGAAUUACUGGGCGUAAAGCGUGCGCAGGCGGUUGUGCAAGACAGAUGUGAAAUCCCCAGGCUUAACCUGGGAACUGCGUCGGAUACUGGAUGGCUUGAAUUCGGGAGAGGGAUGCAGAAUUCCAGGUGUAGCGGUGAAAUGCGUAGAUAUCUGGAGGAAUACCGGUGGCGAAGGCGGCAUCCUGGACCGACAUUGACGCUGAACGGCGAAAGCUAGGGGAGCAAACGGG